rnacentral:rRNA from 1 species
UUGGAAGUAAAAAGUCGUAACAAGGUCUCCGUUGGUGAACCAGCGGAGGGAUCAUUACAGAGUUAUCCAACUCCCAAACCCAUGUGAACUUAUCUCUUUGUUGCCUCGGCGCAAGCUACCCGGGACCUCGCGCCCCGGGCGGCCCGCCGGCGGACAAACCAAAACUCUUGUUAUCUUAGUUGAUUAUCUGAGUGUCUUAUUUAAUAAGUCAAAACUUUCAACAACGGAUCUCUUGGUUCUGGCAUCGAUGAAGAACGCAGCGAAAUGCGAUAAGUAAUGUGAAUUGCAGAAUUCAGUGAAUCAUCGAAUCUUUGAACGCACAUUGCGCCCAUUAGUAUUCUAGUGGGCAUGCCUGUUCGAGCGUCAUUUCAACCCCUAAGCACAGCUUAUUGUUGGGAACCUACGGCUUCGUAGUUCCUCAAAGACAUUGGCGGAGUGGCAGUGGUCCUCUGAGCGUAGUAAUCUUUUAUCUCGCUUCUGUUAGGUGCUGCCCCCCCGGCCGUAAAACCCCCAAUUUUUUCUGGUUGACCUCGGAUCAGGUAGGAAUACCCGCUGAACUUAAGCAUAUCAAUAAGCGGAGG